UACGUAGGGGGCUAGCGUUGUCCGGAAUCAUUGGGCGUAAAGAGCGUGUAGGCGGUCCGGUAAGUCAGCUGUGAAAGUCAAGGGCUCAACCCUUGAAAGCCGGUUGAUACUGUCGGGCUAGAGUCCGGAAGAGGAGAGUGGAAUUCCUGGUGUAGCGGUGAAAUGCGCAGAUAUCAGGAAGAACACCUAUGGCGAAGGCAGCUCUCUGGGACGGUACUGACGCUGAGACGCGAAAGCGUGGGGAGCGAACAGG
rnacentral:rRNA from 1 species